GCUGGGUACAAUGACACAUGCCUGUAAUCCCAGCAACUCAGGAGGCUGAGGCAGGAGGAUUCCAAGUUUAAGGCCAGCCUAGGCAACUAGCAAGAAGACCCUGUCUCAA
rnacentral:sRNA from 1 species